rnacentral:rRNA from 1 species
AUACGUAGGGUGCGAGCGUUAAUCGGAAUUACUGGGCGUAAAGCGUGCGCAGGCGGUUGUGUAAGUCAGAUGUGAAAUCCCCGGGCUCAACCUGGGAACUGCAUUUGAGACUGCACGGCUAGAGUGUAGCAGAGGGGGGUAGAAUUCCACGUGUAGCAGUGAAAUGCGUAGAGAUGUGGAGGAAUACCGAUGGCGAAGGCAGCCCCCUGGGCUACUACUGACGCUCAUGCACGAAAGCGUGGGGAGC